rnacentral:rRNA from 1 species
CCUACGGGAGGCAGCAGUGAGGAAUAUUGGUCAAUGGACGAGAGUCUGAACCAGCCAAGUAGCGUGAAGGAUGACUGCCCUAUGGGUUGUAAACUUCUUUUAUAUGGGAAUAAAACGUUCCACGUGUGGGAUUUUGUAUGUACCAUAUGAAUAAGGAUCGGCUAACUCCGUGCCAGCAGCCGCGGUAAUACGGAGGAUCCGAGCGUUAUCCGGAUUUAUUGGGUUUAAAGGGAGCGUAGGUGGAUUGUUAAGUCAGUUGUGAAAGUUUGCGGCUCAACCGUAAAAUUGCAGUUGAAACUGGCAGUCUUGAGUACAGUAGAGGUGGGCGGAAUUCGUGGUGUAGCGGUGAAAUGCUUAGAUAUCACGAAGAACUCCGAUUGCGAAGGCAGUUCACUGGACCGCAACUGACACUGAGGCUCGAAAGUGUGGGUAUCAAACAGGAUUAGAUACCCUUGUAGUC